UUUACAAACAAAAAUGGCGUCCACAAGUUGGCAACUCCAGCUUCACCGUUCCGGUAACAACACCAAGAAAUUCAGGAAAACAGACGGUAAAUGGCAGAAAAGGAAAGAAAAAAGACCACCCUGGGAUAGUUCAAGUUCUGAUUUAUCAGUGCUGAAGCCUACACGUGAAGAGUUGAACAGGAGACAUGAGCUGCAUAAACCAAAGCCAUUAUCUGAAAGACAAUAUAUACAACAAUAUCAAGAUCUUAUGUUACUAAAGAACAAAGAAAAUAUUUUCCCCAGAAAAACAAUGUAUCAAGAGAAUGUGGAACAGAAGAAGGCACUUAUCAAAGAAAUCUUUCAUCAUCAGGAAAUGGAACUUAGCAAUGUCCUUGCAGAAACUGACAAAGCCAUGGCUAAUGUGAAAGAUCUUUUUGGGGAUUAUCCAAUGAAAUUCAGAGGUGUGCCACAUAUAACGGAUGCCCCAGACGGCCAAUCAAAUAUGAACAGAUCUUUGCUGGCAGUUGAUAUGGAAACGCCAUCACGAUUGACUGCACUUAGCGAAUCCGUCAUGCGACAUCCAGCCCUUAAUGAUGUCACUGAUGACGUAAGCAGUGGAACUGAUCAAGAGAGUGAUGUUGAUGAGAAUAAUUCGGCUCGAACUGGCAUCAUCAGUGAUCGAAGUGCCACUCGAUUUCAAUCCGACUUCAACUUCGACUACUACAAAGAGCUUUUGCAAAGAGAGCAAUUCAAGAAAGAGAGCGAUGAAAUUGAAAAUUCAAGGUUUGCCCUUUCAACUUUAGCUCAAGUUGAAAACCGAGAUCUCAGCUCAAACCGGAGCCUUGAUUUUGGCAAAGAAGUUUUGAUGCCUUCAAAAGUUGUUUCGGCCGCGGAAACCCAUGGUAAUGCAAAUUGGCAAGCAGGCUACUCAUCCUCUGUUUUAGCUGGUGCACCGGGAACGGAAAAUCAACCAUACCAAUGCAAAGUUGAUCCAUCCGGCAACAUGGAUAAAAUAACAGAAAUGAGACAGGUUCUUGAUGCUAUCGAAAGUGAGCUGCAAGGGUUUGAAGCAGCUUCUGACAAGACAAGGAAGCCAACAAGGGAGGAAAAAUAUUACGAGUCGGCAAGAGCACCGUCACUGUCCAAGGUUCUCAAUGCUGUUGUCAAAUACGUUAAGGAGUUAACAAAACAAGUCGAAACUGACAGAGAACUGCAGAGCCAAUUAAUGGAAGAAUUCCAAGAGCAAAGAGCCUUGAUAGACGCUCUAACUGGUGAUUUGAUAUGUUCCCAAGAAGAAAAUGAGCUGUUGAAAGACGAGCUUGAGAAGGUUAAGUCAAAUACAAGCGAGGAACUAUCAAAAAUUAAGAAAGAGCUACAUGCUUUGGCUUUGGUAAAGCCCCAGUCCCCAAAAGAUGAUGAAACCUAGUUUAACCUAUCAAGUCGGAAUUCAAGACAAAGAAUGCCGCCAAGAAUUUGAUGAGAAUGGGAAAUUAUCAAGAUCAGAUCCCCACAAUCCAUUGCGGUUUUUUGGAGCCAGCUUUCGAGUUCUUAUCAAAAUUGUCAUAGCAACUUUGAUAAAAAGAUGAGCAGUCUUGUGUGGAGCCCUUGAUACUGUCCAUUCCAUUGUAAAUGUUCACCUUGUGACGUUUUAAGGCAGCCCUUCAUCUGUAUUUUAGAAAAAAGUUUUAGAAAUCGAAUUCAACAGUCGUCAUAACAACUGUAUAAUACAGAAAUUGUUAAAAUAAACACAGCGCUGUGAUAAAGUGAAGCAAUCUUUUUUACUCAUCUUUUUACUCAUGUUAUGUUGUGUUAUGUUAUGUUAUGUUAUGUUAUGUUAUGUUAUGUUAUGUUAUGUUAUGUUAUGUUAUGUUAUGUUAUGUUAUGUUGUGUUAUGUUGUGUUAUGUUAUGUUAUGCUAUGCUAUGUUAUGUUAUGUUAUGUUAUGUUAUGUUAUGUUAUGUUAUGUUAUGUUAUGUUAUGUUAUGUUACAAUGGGUGGCGCCAUAAGGGGGCUGGGGUUUCAGCCCACCCAAACUUUUUUGCAAAAAGUAUUUUUAAGAAAACAAAAAGAAUAAAAGAAAAGAAAUAUAAGUAAAGAAUUGUGCAAUAAAUCCUGCUAUUGCUUAAUUUCCCAGGAAUAUAGGGCCUUAUAAAGUACAAGCUUAUUUAAAGGGUGUGGUCGCCAAAAUGUUCUGCUCGAUCCGCUCGCAGGAAAGCCUCUUCUUUCCGAUGUACCUAGGACCGCCGAAAAUUGACCGCCGGCCCAUCCAAUGUACCGUUAGCAUAUAACAUUGCCCCAUAAAAUCAUAGGCACAAAAUAUCGUGAUACAUUUUGGUGCAUCUUUCCAAUAAUUGUUUUUUAGUCUAAUAAGGCUAUCGAGCCCCCCCCCCUCCACUUUGAAUUUCUUGGCACCGCCCCUGGUUGCGUUUUUGGAUUUAUUUAUGUUAGGCAAUUUAUAUUGCAUGGAAACCCUGGAGCAAUAUUUUGUUUCAAAGUAGAGAAUCCAAAAACAUACAAAGACUAGAGAAAUUUAUGAUGAACCAGUUUCAUAGAUAUACUUUAUAUCAUAUUUAUGUGUACGUUUCAAAUUAUUCCUCGUGAUUUGUUGGAUUUAAAUCUUAAAUUACAGGAGUGUGAUAACACAGAAAUAGCGCUGAUCUCCUUCACAGUGAUAUGGGGCGGCCCAAAAUAUAGAUCAUCCUCCAGACAAACGGUUUUCUUCCAUUAAAGGACUUGUAGCUUUGGUUUUCGUCGUCUUCUACUUGUUUUUGUAUGAAUUUCUCAGAUUCCACGCGUGACUCAGCUUGUGGAUAAAAGUAUAAUCGAAAUGGCAGGUGAUCUGGUCAUAGUCUGAGAUUUGCUGCAGAUUUAGAUCCCAAAUCUAACUUAAAUAGUUGUGAGAACUUUUAACCUUUCAUGUUUACAACUAAGUCUCAACUACGUUAUAUUCAUUCGGUCUUAUCUCUCUUCUUUGACUGGUUGGGACAGUUGCAAAUUUAUUGGGACGCACGCGACAACACCCUAGAAUAGCGCUGAUGCACGCUUUUUCCGUCUUUGUCGUCAUAACAACCUAGUCAUUUCAAGCCCAGUCCCUUUCGAUUGGUGAAUAAAUUGAACGCUUCCAAAUUUCUUUAUUCCUUUAGGUUCUGCCUUAUUCUAAAAAAGUCUUUGUUGUCGUUUUAUGCCAAGCAUAACGUUUGGUCUUUAAUUUUUCUUAGUAUGUUUUCGCUACAUCUCGUUUCUUCAAAAAUUCAUUUUCUAAUGCAUCGAAAUCGUCAAACAAGGCUAAAAGAUCUUGUGUUCAAAAAUGGCUCUCCCUUCCUGCAACUUGCCUGAAAUUUUUAAGAAGGAGGAAUUUUUACCACUAUUCUUAUUUUGGUUACCUCUGUUUCUUGGCUUUAUAGGGCCUACUCCUCCCUUCCCUUCCAUCAUCAGCCAGAAACGACCGCUGAUUGUAUCCCACGACCUCGAAGACUGAAAUGUUUUCAAAGACCAGGAGACAAAAGUUCGACAAAUUUAACAACAUUAAAAGAAUUUGAGUGGAACUCGUAAAACCUUAUGUUAAAUCAGGCGUGUGUGUUUCUCUACAUAUGAUUAUUGUGGUUAUCCAAGAGACAAAAUACUGAUUAUAAUAGAGAACAACUGGUUGUUCGAUUUCCAUUGGCUUUUUGUUAUCCCCUGCACGAUGCACAACUACUCUUUCUCGUGGUCAAAGUAGAGGCCUUUGCCCUUGACCGCGGCGGCCCCUGGAAACAACUCCUGUAAAUACAUGACCAUUAGAACGGACGUAGUAGUUUAAAAAUGUUUGGUUCAUUUUUCACAACCCUUGAGAUUCCAGGCAUCCUAUUAUUGACAUUUUUUCCGAUAUAUCUUUCUACUAGUAUAUUGACUUUCGUUUUCACUUUAGGGUACUUUAGGGUGCAUCCAUUUUGGGGACAAUGGGCGUGGGUACAUACAAAGGCCGUCAACAACAUUUACAAAUUGUUUUCCUCAUAAAUAGAAAUCCGAAUUUCGUUGUAAACAGCUUUUGUCUUCGUAGCCUCUACAAAGAGAUUAUCAAUUGUAAAUUGAAACUAGAACACUCUAUGACUUAAUUUUGUUGUAUACAGAACGUGUUUUAUUUAUCGUAAACACAAACUGCUGUGGGAGUUCACAUCACGCCAUACAUAAGAAUCUGGGUUUGCAGCGAGAAGUUAUUUGACAAGUUGUACAG